rnacentral:rRNA from 1 species
GAUGAACGCUGGCGGCGUGCCUAAUACAUGCAAGUCGAGCGAACAGAUGAGGAGCUUGCUCCUCUGACGUUAGCGGCGGACGGGUGAGUAACACGUGGAUAACCUACCUAUAAGACUGGGAUAACUUCGGGAAACCGGAGCUAAUACCGGAUAAUAUAUUGAACCGCAUGGUUCAAUAGUGAAAGACGGUUUUGCUGUCACUUAUAGAUAGAUCCGCGCCGCAUUAGCUAGUUGGUAAGGUAACGGCUUACCAAGGCAACGAUGCGUAGCCGACCUGAGAGGGUGAUCGGCCACACUGGAACUGAGACACGGUCCAGACUCCUACGGGAGGCAGCAGUAGGGAAUCUUCCGCAAUGGGCGAAAGCCUGACGGAGCAACGCCGCGUGAGUGAUGAAGGUCUUCGAAUCGUAAAACUCUGUUAUUAGGGAAGAACAAAUGUGUAAGUAACUAUGCACGUCUUGACGGUACCUAAUCAGAAAGCCACGGCUAACUACGUG